CCUACGGGGGGCAGCAAUUAGGAAUCUUGCGCAAUGGGCGAAAGCCUGACGCAGCGACGUCGCGUGAAGGAUGAAAUCUUUCGGGAUGUAAACUUCUUUUACCAGGGAAGAAUAAUGACGGUACCUGGUGAAUAAGCCCCGGCUAACUACGUGCCAGCAGCCGCGGUAAUACGUAGGGGGCGAGCGUUGUCCGAAGUUACUGGGCGUAAAGAGCGCGUAGGCGGGUUCUUAAGUGAGGGGUGAAAGUCCGAGGCUCAACCUCGGAACUGCCUUUCAUACUGGGAACCUUGAGUGCGGGAGAGGCGAGUGGAAUGGUCGGUGUAGCGGUGAAAUGCGUAGAUAUCGAUCGGAACACCCAUGGCGAAGGCAGCUCGCUGGCCUGUAACUGACGCUGAGGCGCGAAAGCGUGGGGAGCAAACA
rnacentral:rRNA from 1 species